rnacentral:rRNA from 1 species
UGGGGAAUAUUGGACAAUGGGCGAAAGCCUGAUCCAGCCAUGCCGCGUGUGUGAAGAAGGUCUUCGGAUUGUAAAGCACUUUAAGUUGGGAGGAAGGGCAGUAAGCGAAUACCUUGCUGUUUUGACGUUACCGACAGAAUAAGCACCGGCUAACUCUGUGCCAGCAGCCGCGGUAAUACAGAGGGUGCAAGCGUUAAUCGGAAUUACUGGGCGUAAAGCGCGCGUAGGUGGUUCGUUAAGUUGAAUGUGAAAGCCCCGGGCUCAACCUGGGAACUGCAUCCAGAACUGGCGAGCUAGAGUAGGGCAGAGGGUGGUGGAAUUUCAUGUGUAGCGGUGAAAUGCGUAGAUAUAGGAAGGAACACAAGUGGCGAAGGCGACCACCUGGGCUCAUACUGACACUGAGGUGCGAAAGAGUGGGGAGCAAACAGG